rnacentral:rRNA from 1 species
UACGUAGGGGGCGAGCGUUAUCCGGAUUUAUUGGGCGUAAAGCGUGUGUAGGCGGUUUAUUAAGUUUAAGAUUAAAGCCCGAGGCUUAACCUCGGUUCGUCUUAGAAACUGGUAGACUUGAGUGUGGUAGAGGCAAGUGGAAUUUCUAGUGUAGCGGUUAAAUGCGUAGAUAUUAGAAGGAACACCAGUGGCGAAGGCGGCUUGCUGGGCCAUUACUGACGCUGAGACACGAAAGCGUGGGGAGCAAAUA